GGUAGGAGCUGGCUUGCCUGCGAUGCGGGCACCUCGGUGUAUCUGGCUGAGCGAGGUGAUGCUAUCGCAGGCAAGCCAGCUCCCACA
rnacentral:misc_RNA from 1 species